rnacentral:lncRNA from 1 species
UAGAGCACAAUAAUUAUAAGCAAAUGAAACAUGUCCUGCAUUUCAAGAUCGGCUGUUGUCGCUCCGGGAAUAGCUCUAGUCAUUUUUCUGACGCCGCCGUGGAAGCAUCUUGCCUGUUCCUCCAAAAGAUGGGCUGCCACGAAGAACAGUUUAGUCUGAGGGGCUGUGGAAACUGAAUUCCCUGCUUUACCUGACCCUGGCGACCUUGAUCGGGAAAACUUCUACUGAGAUUCUUUUCCCCAGACGUGGAUUUAGCAGGUGAGUAUCCGCCAGUUUUAUAAUGAACUUCAGUCCC